rnacentral:pre_miRNA from 2 species
UGAAAGAAUCUGUAAAGCUCAGGAGGGAUAGCGCCCGAAUAAACUACAUAUAAAUCAUGUUUAUAUGGCGCUAUCUAUCCUGAGCCUCACCGCUUCUUCUU